rnacentral:rRNA from 1 species
GUGCAGCAGUCGCGAAUCCUCCGCAAUGCGCGAAAGCGCGACGGGGCCACCCCGAGUGCCGCCCGCUGAGGGUGGCUUUUCCCCGGUGUAGACAGCCGGGGGAAUAAGGGGAGGGCAAGUCUGGUGUCAGCCGCCGCGGUAAUACCAGCUCCCCGAGUGGUGGGGACGAUUAUUGGGCCUAAAGCGUCCGUAGCCGGCCCAGCAAGUCUCCCGUUAAAUCCAGCGAUCUAAUCGCUGGACUGCGGGAGAUACUGCUGGGCUAGGGGGCGGGAGAGGCCGGCGGUAUUUCCGGGGUAGGGGUGAAAGUCCUAUAAUCCCCGGGAGGACCACCAGUGGCGAAGGCUGCCGGCUGGAACGCGCCCGACGGUGAGGGACGAAAGCCGGGGGAGCGAACCGGAUUAGAUACCCGCGUAGU